rnacentral:lncRNA from 1 species
GACCAUUGAAAAUAAGAUCUGAAGUGGGUCCAACAGAUUGAAGUGAUUUGCAAAAAGGUGUCAAGCUUCUUUACUUUCUGUCACAGUUGAAACGAGCAAUCGUUCAAACGAUGGAUUUAGUGAAUUCUAUGCGUCUAGUAUUCGUUCUCUUCUGAGAUAUGCUUGUGAAUUCUUUAAUUUUAGUUUCGAGAGAAAUUAAACUUAUCCUUGGAACGCAUUCAUAAAAGAAGAAUGAGGAUUAUCGAUGGAUUUUUGACAAUACGUGCGAUGUUGCCCUGAAUCUGUCGUGCCUGGAGAGAUUGUUUGUUUAUGGGGAGAAACUUGAUGAUUUUCUGCAGAAGAUUUUCGUCAAUACAGAAGAUAAACUUUAUACACCGCAUAAUAUGAAUGGAGACUUCCCCUUAAAGAAAGAUUAGAAAAUGUACUGUCCGUAAAUGUAAUACUUACCGUUUUAAAAACUACGACCGUUUUAAAAACUGCGAUCGAUGGUACAACUAGUCGCUAUAAUGAAUGAACGAACGAAGUCUUUAUUUUUAUCAGGGUUGUUUCAGUGCUACAGUGAAUACUGUUAUAAACAUGAGCAAUGAAAGAACAAUGAUGGGGACUAUAUAGUUUAAAGGGGCAAUAUCAGCCAUUUUUGGGCAAUUGUAACCCUCGCAAGUUUUGCCCAAAACUGAAAAAGAAUGAAUGUAGGCACAAAAUUAAAGCAAUAAGAUUCAAAAAACAUGUAGAUGUGCAUGUUGAUUAAUUGUUGGCAGACACUUUUUCAUGUUUUAGUCAAUUUUAUGAAAAUGUUGUGCGUGGAAGUUCAAAGUUUUGUUUAAUAUGACUCAUUACUUAAUCAUUUACAAUGUUUAUUUUUAACUUUGUAGUUUAGUUUUUGAACAAAAGGCAUUUUAGGUAAAAAAAAUCGGUGACAAAAAUGGCAAAUAAUUUUUGUAAAUAU